GCUUCCCAUCCCCCCCUCCCCGGCCCCCGCGCCUGCCCCUCCCCCCGCUGUCAAACGCCUGCCCCUCCCCCUCCUGCUGUCCCCGCCGAAGUUCGCGCCGCUCCUCCCCCGCCCCCGCGCGCUCCCCGUGGCCCUGCGCGUCCCGCCCCCGCGCCCCACGUGCUGCGAUCCGGCCAAUGGGAAACCCGCGCGCGCGGACCCGGAUCAGGAAACGCGCGGGGGUUGCGUGAUGGAUGCUGCUAGCCACCCGGGCGGGAGGAGCGAGCAGGGGCUUGUGUUCCUCGGCCCCCCAACUUGGAUUCCGGCUGAGAAGUUGGGGCCUGGUUAGCCUGCGCAGAAUUUGUACAUCAUUUUUCAUUUAAAGAUUUGGAACCUUCCUAUAUUGCAGUUGAUGGAGGUGCUGAUGAGAGUUAAACUGGCCCCCUUUACUGGGAGCUACUUGAGACCUCCACCCUAGAGUGGGAAUAGACAGACGACGCCUGCACAAAACCCGGCUUUGAAUCCAGUAACUUCGCGUUCCAGAACAUCCACCAAACAAAACCAAGUUUGAGAUCGAAUAAGACCCUUCCUGGUCUGAUUGUCAAUCGGUCUUUUCUAACUCUUCCCUCCCUUCUCCUUUCGGAUGGUGUUUCCUCAGGCAGGAUCUAGAGCAAGGGCUAUAUUUACAGGGCAGCCUGUAAUUUCUGAAUUGCUGAAAAUUAGCAUUUUAACGAUAUCAGUAGCUCCGGAAAGGAGGGAGAAGGGACUGUUGCCUGCCAUUUGGUAAUUGAAAUUUGAUGGGUAAACUAAUUAUGCCAUUAUUAACAAAUAAAUUACUUAUUAAUUCCACCUAAUGUUGAUCUUUGAAGUAAAUACUGAUGCCGCA